rnacentral:rRNA from 1 species
AAGACCUUGCGCUUUUGGAGCGGCCGAUGUCUGAUUAGCUAGUUGGUAGGGUAAUGGCCUACCAAAGCUUCGAUCAGUAGCUGGUCUGAGAGGACGACCAGCCACACUGGGACUGAGACACGGCCCAGACUCCUACGGGAGGCAGCAGUGGGGAAUUUUGGACAAUGGGCGCAAGCCUGAUCCAGCCGUGCCGCGUGAGUGAAGAAGGCCUUCGGGUUGUAAAGCUCUUUCAGCCGGGAAGAAAAGGCUACGACGAAUAAUCGUAGCUCAUGACGGUACCGGAAGAAGAAGCACCGGCUAACUACGUGCCAGCAGCCGCGGUAAUACGUAGGGUGCGAGCGUUAAUCGGAAUUACUGGGCGUAAAGGGCGCGCAGGCGGUUUUGUAAGUCAGAUGUGAAAUCCCCGGGCUUAACCUGGGAACU